GACGAACGCUGGCGGCGUGCCUAAUACAUGCAAGUCGAACGAGUGGCGGACGGGUGAGUAAUGUCUGGGAAACUGCCCGAUGGAGGGGGAUAACUACUGGAAACGGUAGCUAAUACCGCAUACCAUCGGAUGUGCCCAGAUGGGAUUAGCUUGUAGGUGAGGUAACGGCUCACCUAGGCGACGAUCCCUAGCUGGUCUGAGAGGAGGACCAGCCACACUGGAACUGAUACACGGUCCAUACUCCUACGGGAGGCAGCAGUGGGGAAUAUUGCACAAUCGGCGCAAGCCUUAUGCAGCCAUGCCGCGUGUAUGAAGAAGGCCUUCGGGUUGUAAAGUACUUUCAGCGGGGAGGCGUUACCCGCAGAAGAAGCACCGGCUAACUCCGUGCCAGCAGCCGCGGUAAUAC
rnacentral:rRNA from 1 species